rnacentral:rRNA from 1 species
UACGUAGGGCGCAAGCGUUGUCCGGAAUUAUUGGGCGUAAAGAGCUCGUAGGCGGCCUGUUGCGUCCGCUGUGAAAUCCCGGGGCUCAACCCCGGGCCUGCAGUGGAUACGGGCUGGCUAGAGGCAGGCAGGGGAGAACGGAAUUCCUGGUGUAGCGGUGAAAUGCGCAGAUAUCAGGAGGAACACCGGUGGCGAAGGCGGGUCUCUGGGCCGAUACUGACGCUGAGGAGCGAAAGCGUGGGGAGCAAACAGG